GCGGGCAUCUAACAAUCUAAUUUUUAUCCUUUACUUGGAGCUGUUACAAAGAAUCGCCAUAUUCUGACUGGCGGUAUGCUUGCCAUUAAAUGCUUCUUUGCUGACGACAAGGAUUACGCUGUCGUAAAAAAAAUGUUUUGGUGGAACUCAGCGCACUGCGCGAUGUACGCCACGAUAAUGUCGUCAAGUUGUUCCAUGUGUUUAUGGAAAAUUCCGUGUUUUAUGUGGUAUUUGAAUAACUCAGCAAAGCACUGCUGGACGUGAUCCACAAAGCUCCGAAGAAGGUCUGGGUUCGGGUCCGCACACCAAAUCUUUCCUGUCCAGCUGCUGCGCGCUGUAUCGUAUAUCCAUUUAAGGAAUGCAAAUUUCGAUUUCGUCACGAAGCAGGCGUAUAACGGCCAGCGGUCUUCCUCCUAUCUCGCCACAAGAUGGUAUCGCGCUCCUGAACUUUUGACAGGAGACUAUUGCAUGGAAAGGCUGUUGAUGUGUGGGCAACUGCAGCCGUCGCAGUGGAAAUGAUCAAAGGUCAAUCGAUGGCCUCCGGCACUGCGAUCGUCAUUUGCAUCCAAACCUAUUCUGCAGGCUCCACCGUCCGUGCGCAGUGAAUUUGACAUACUACUUCACCCACCGUGCUUCAGCAGUCUUUUCUUCAACAGGCUUUCUUGUCAAACUCGCAAAAUUCUGUAAUCUUAAGGUUUGAUAAAGCGCUUUAAUUUUGUUUCACAUUAUUUAUUAUGUAUGCACGAAUUCCAUGUGUAAUUGUUUAAUGGCACUAUUAUCACACGACUUUGGUUUCUUGAGAUGUGUCGCGCCGGAAAGCGAAAAGUACCAGUUGCAAAGCUUUGUAAUAAUGUUCCAUGGCUGAACAAGAAAAGCAGAAAAAUAACUAAAACCUCUUUGAAAUCUGAGAUUGACGAUUACGACGACUUCUACCCGGUUCACGAAAAGCGUGUUUGUCACAAAAUUCAGUCCAUAUAUCAGGAUGCGUGGAUGAAUUUUGUUCUUUCCACUUCCCGAUUCAUGCUAGAAAGUAUUCCUCUCGCAUGGACAGCUUACAAAAAUUUGAUAACAGAUCACGGAAUGCUGACCGCUCACGCCACUAGAACGAAAACUGAAAGUAACGCUUCGCACUCUACUGGCUCCAAUUGGGAGCUCUGGUUUUUGUGGGCCAGCCGCCGGCAGCGACUUCGGUUCCGCAUCUGCACUGCCCUACGGAAGUUGAGAUGACGCGGGUGCGCCACAUCCCUGGUUUCUGGCCCACUGCUGUGGAGGGGACCGCCCGCUAGGCAGCGCCAAAUAUUUCGUGAAUGGUCAUAUGUUGAUUUACUAAUUUCUGAAACGUUUCUACAUGGCUUGGCAGGGCUAUUUGCACAAGUUCGGACACUUUUUCCAAAUAAUUACCACAUGUUCCCCGUCUUGAAUUAAAGCCGUAUUACAUUUUUGCAUGAGCAACACAUGUGUUCAGCAACUUUUCCACUUAGGGUUUUUAUGCUUAAGGCAUUCCUCGAAUUACAGUGAGAUCGAAACCAUAACGGGCCAGCUUCGAAAUGCGACUCGACACACCUAUUGUGGGAUGGAUCUCCCAUUUCAUAAUUCGUAUAAAAAUUUCAAAGCUUUUCGAGUCCUGACUAGUUACUUUUAUCGUGUUCGCCAACCGAUUCUCUUGUGGAUGGUGUCUAACACGGCGCGACUGCUCUCAGGGCAUCGUGACCUUUGCACCCUUUCUGCGGGUACCGUCGAAAUGUAGGAGGACCUCUUUCGGGCCCUGGCCGUACUACCGUGGAAGGUUUUCCGCGCAUUCCGCAUGGGACCAAUCAAUGCAGCAAGUGGGGCCGGUUUCGGUGAAUGGGAAGCGCAUACGAAGAUGCGUUGUUUCAAGGAGUUGCUUCAAAGAUCAUGGCGCGCAUGGGAUUCGUAGUCGGUACAGGGUUGGGAAGCCGCGCGGAGGGUAGAAUAGAACCAGUGAUCGCCCAAGUUUAUCCACAAGGUCGCACACUUGAUUAUUGUAUGGAUCUCCGCGAACAGAAGGAACUUCCCAAGGUUGGCGAAAAGCUGCGGAAGGUCAACAAACAGAAGAAUGCACAGCUGAAGCCGAAUCCCAGUCCCAAAGCCGACGUAUUUUCCAUCAUCAAUGAACAGAUGAAACUUCAUCGCUGCAAUACCACUCCGCACGCCGACACACAGCCGGUCGACAAGAGUUCCAACAAGAUAAAAAAUGCCAAAGAACAAAAUGUUGAGCUAGUGAAACUUCAGGAUAAAAUCAGUUUUCUGGAAAAGGAACUGGUCCGGCUUCGAACUUCAUUUUCACGAAACCAGACAACUGACAAGAAAGCCGCAAGUAUGAUUGCUGAAAAGAUCUCUGGGAAAGAGCGAGAACUAACGUUGCUCCGGAGGAAACAGAAUACCAUAUUUCAAGAUCUCAAUAAGCAAAAGGAUAAAAAAUGCUUGAGCGUUUUUUGAAGCAAUCCUUUACAGAGUUUGUGUUCUCAAAAUUUGUCUGUGAUAGUUUUUUUAGAGCUGAGCAAACAUUUACCUGGUGUGAGUUUCGUUAUCGUUAGUGUACAAGCAGGUGUUACUCCUGACUGUAUUUUAUUUUGUUACGGUGUUACCCAUAAACUGUCAUGUGCUCAAGUGUUGUUACCUUUUGUACAAAAGGUAACUAUUUUUAAAGGUUACAUACAUAUUAUAGGCCGAAGAUUUCCG